rnacentral:rRNA from 1 species
GACGAACGCUGGCGGCGUGCUUAACACAUGCAAGUCGAGCGGUAAGGCCCUUUCGGGGGUACACGAGCGGCGAACGGGUGAGUAACACGUGGGUGACCUGCCCUUAGCUCUGGGAUAAGCCUGGGAAACUAGGUCUAAUACCGGAUAUGACUCCAUGACGCAUGUUGUGGGGUGGAAAGCCUUGUGCGGCUAGGGAUGGGCCCGCGGCCUAUCAGCUUGUUGGUGGGGUGAUGGCCUACCAAGGCGACGACGGGUAGCCGGCCUGAGAGGGCGACCGGCCACACUGGGGCUGAGACACGGCCCAGACUCCUACGGGAGGCAGCAGUGGGGAAUCUUGCGCAAUGGGCGAAAGCCUGACGCAGCGACGCCGCGUGAGGGAUGACGGCC